UGGGGAAUAUUGGACAAUGGGCGAAAGCCUGAUCCAGCCAUGCCGCGUGUGUGAAGAAGGUCUUCGGAUUGUAAAGCACUUUAAGUUGGGAGGAAGGGCAUUAACCUAAUACGUUAGUGUUUUGACGUUACCGACAGAAUAAGCACCGGCUAACUCUGUGCCAGCAGCCGCGGUAAUACAGAGGGUGCAAGCGUUAAUCGGAAUUACUGGGCGUAAAGCGCGCGUAGGUGGUUUUUUAAGUUGGAUGUGAAAUCCCCGGGCUCAACCUGGGAACUGCAUUCAAAACUGACUGACUAGAGUAUGGUAGAGGGUGGUGGAAUUUCCUGUGUAGCGGUGA
rnacentral:rRNA from 1 species